rnacentral:rRNA from 1 species
UACGUAGGGGGCAAGCGUUGUUCGGAAUUACUGGGCGUAAAGCGCGUGUAGGCGGUUGCCAUAGUCAGGUGUGAAAGCCUUAAGCUUAACUCAAGAAAUGCACUUGAUACUGGGCGACUAGAGGACCGGGGAGGAUAGUGGAAUUCCCAGUGUAGUGGUGAAAUACGUAGAGAUUGGGAAGAACACCAGUGGCGAAGGCGGCUAUCUGGACGGUUUCUGACGCUAAGACGCGAAAGCGUGGGGAG